GGCCGACUAGCUCAGCUGGAUAGAGCAUCGUGCUAAUGACACGAAGGUCUUGGGUUCGAUCCCCACAUUGGCCA
rfam:Laccaria amethystina LaAM-08-1 unplaced genomic scaffold K443scaffold_189, whole genome shotgun sequence.